rfam:Populus trichocarpa scaffold_18_contig_156, whole genome shotgun sequence.
UCUAGAACUCGAGAUAUGGGCUGAACACUGAACAAUAGCUGCGCUGCAGGACAUAUUCAGACUUCUCUUUUGAUGCUAAGAUUUGGACUUCCAAACAGCAUAAUUGAGUCUUGGACUCUCUUGAAUGUUUUAGGCCUAUGUAUUAGCUUUCUAGC